ensembl:misc_RNA
GAGAUAGAUGUGCGUGGCUAGCUCGCUGGUCUUGUUAACAAGCUUCAUCAUAAAGAUGGAGAUGAUAAG